UACGUAGGGGGCUAGCGUUGUCCGGAAUCAUUGGGCGUAAAGCGCGUGUAGGCGGUCCGGUAAGUCCGCUGUGAAAGUCGGGGGCUCAACCCUGGGAUGCCGGUGGAUACUGUCGAGCUCGAGUCCGGAAGAGGCGAGUGGAAUUCCUGGUGUAGCGGUGAAAUGCGCAGAUAUCAGGAGGAACACCAAUGGCGAAGGCAGCUCGCUGGGACGUGACUGACGCUGAGACGCGAAAGCGUGGGGAGCAAACAGG
rnacentral:rRNA from 1 species